UAUUUCCUAUUGAUAGUCAUUAAAAUUCAGCUGUUUAACUUCCUUCUUUACAUUCAGGCCACUAGAUCAAACUUCUGUUUACCUGGUUUUAUGAGAAUAACGGUGGGAGUGCAUUUGGUUUGUGUUCUUUUAGUGAAUAGGAAUGAAUCAUGAUUAUUUCUAUGCUUAACUGAUUUUCUUCUGAAAAAAUAAAUUUUUAUGUAGUUUCACCAGGUGAUAUGGAUCGGACACAAAUUGAGCUUAAUCCGUACCUCACAUGUGUAUUUUCAGGUGGGAAAGCAGUGCCACUCUCCGCUUCACAGAUGCCCCCUGCCAAGAUGUCAGUGAUGCUGCCGUCAGUGAACCUCGAGGACUGCUCUCAGUCUCUGAGUCUCAGCACAAUGCAGGAGGACAUGGAGUCUUCGGGGGCAGAUACCUUCUGAACGGGAAGAGACAGCCAGCACAGUGUUUAUGCCACUGGUUUUAAAGUCAUUUUACCUUGGCUUAAAACCCUCUCUCAGACUGUUUGGUUUUUGAGCAUAUUCUGAAAAAAAAAUUCCAAUAU
rnacentral:lncRNA from 1 species